GACGAACGCUGGCGGCGUGCUUAACACAUGCAAGUCGAACGGAAAGGCCCUGCUUUUGUGGGGUGCUCGAGUGGCGAACGGGUGAGUAACACGUGAGUAACCUGCCCUUGACUUUGGGAUAACUCCAGGAAACUGGGGCUAAUACCGGAUAGGAGCUCCUGCUGCAUGGUGGGGGUUGGAAAGUUUCGGCGGUUGGGGAUGGACUCGCGGCUUAUCAGCUUGUUGGUGGGGUAGUGGCUUACCAAGGCUUUGACGGAUAGUCGGCCUGGGAGGGUGACCGGCCACAUUGGGACUGCGAUACGGCCCAGACUCCUACGGGAGGCAGCAGUGGGGAAUAUUGCACAGUGGGCGGAAGCCUGAUGCAGCGACGCCGCGUGCGGGAUGACGGCCUUCGGGUUGUGAACCGCUUUCGCCUGUGACGAAGCGGGAGUGACGGUAAUGGGUAAAGAAGCACCGGCUAACUACGUG
rnacentral:rRNA from 1 species